rnacentral:rRNA from 1 species
ACGGGGCCGCACAAGCGGUGGAGCAUGUGGUUAAUUCGAAGCAACGCGAAGAACCUUACCAGGUCUUGACAUCCCGAUGCUAUUUCUAGAGAUAGAAAGUUACUUCGGUACAUCGGUGACAGGUGGUGCAUGGUUGUCGUCAGCUCGUGUCGUGAGAUGUUGGGUUAAGUCCCGCAACGAGCGCAACCCCUAUUGUUAGUUGCCAUCAUUCAGUUGGGCACUCUAGCGAGACUGCCGGUAAUAAACCGGAGGAAGGUGGGGAUGACGUCAAAUCACCAUGCCCCUUAUGACCUGGGCUACACACGUGCUACAAUGGUUGGUACAACGAGUUGCGAGUCGGUGACGGCGAGCUAAUCUCUUAAAGCCAAUCUCAGUUCGGAUUGUAGGCUGCAACCCGCCUACAUGAAGUCGGAAUCGCUAGUAAUCGCGGAUCAGCACGCCGCGGUCGAAUACGUUCCGGGCCUU